AACGAACGCUGGCGGCAUGCCUAACACAUGCAAGUCGAACGAGACCUUCGGGUCUAGUGGCGCACGGGUGCGUAACGCGUGGGAACCUGCCCUUAGGUUCGGAAUAACUCCCCGAAAGGGGUGCUAAUACCGGAUAAUGUCUUCGGACCAAAGAUUUAUCGCCUUUGGAUGGGCCCGCGUUGGAUUAGCUAGUUGGUAGGGUAAAAGCCUACCAAGGCGACGAUCCAUAGCUGGUCUGGGAGGAUGAUCAGCCACACUGGGACUGGGACACGGCCCAGACUCCUACGGGAGGCAGCAGUGGGGAAUAUUGGACAAUGGGCGAAAGCCUGAUCCAGCAAUGCCGCGUGAGUGAUGAAGGCCUUAGGGUUGUAAAGCUCUUUUACCCGGGAUGAUAAUGACAGUACCGGGAGAAUAAGCUCCGGCUAACUCCGUG
rnacentral:rRNA from 1 species